rnacentral:rRNA from 1 species
AUUGAACGCUGGCGGCAUGCCUUACACAUGCAAGUCGAACGGUAACAGGUCUUCGGAUGCUGACGAGUGGCGAACGGGUGAGUAAUACAUCGGAACGUGCCUAGUAGUGGGGGAUAACUACUCGAAAGAGUGGCUAAUACCGCAUGAGAUCUACGGAUGAAAGCAGGGGAUCGCAAGACCUUGUGAUUCUAGAGCGGCCGAUGGCAGAUUAGGUAGUUGGUGGGAUAAAAGCUUACCAAGCCGACGAUCUGUAGCUGGUCUGAGAGGACGAUCAGCCACACUGGGACUGAGACACGGCCCAGACUCCUACGGGAGGCAGCAGUGGGGAAUUUUGGACAAUGGGCGAAAGCCUGAUCAGCAAUGCCGCGUGCAGGAUGAAGGCCUUCGGGUUGUAAACUGCUUUUGUACGGAACGAAAAGCCCCGGGUUAAUACCCUGGGGUCAUGACGGUACCGUAAGAAUAAGCACCGGCUAACUACGUGCCAGCCGCCGCCGUAA